CUGUAUCAUUAACUUUUUGGUUUUUCUUACCCUUAUUUCUUUGCCUCUUUUUUAUAUAUAGGGAUUCAAAACCUAUAUCACUGCUGCAGCCAUCUUCCUAGAAACCUACUGCCUGCUUGCUUUUAAUUCAGCAAAUGGAUAGGAGUUAUGCAAAUUUUAUAUGCCUGAACCUCAUCUGAUGUUAGUUUCAGGAAUCAGGGCUACCUAUCAGUUGCACCCUUCACCGAUGACAAGAUGACAACAAUAAUAAGGACAAGAACACCUGCAGGUCAUGUACUCCAAGAGAAGUGUUGGAUUAAAAAAGGUACAGACUCAUCAACCAAAGACAGAAUGCUGGCUACCAUUUGGACCUCACAGGAUAUUUUUGGAAAGAAAUCCUGGAACUGUGAAUGGAAAAAGGACAAUCUGAGAGCAAAGCCCAUCAUUGAAAAGCAAAUCCACAGGCACGUUUGAUUCUGAAAUCCCAUCUCAGGUCUAUAAACUUUGAAAAAAAAAAAAUGUGCUUUCUUUUUUUCUUGUACUAUGUCAGUCAUUUGUAAGACAUCAGAAAUUAAUUAUCCUUUUUAUUUUCAAACUUUUCUGAAGUUAUAAAAAGAGAACUGAAUAAAACAACAGCAGCCCUGCUAUCUGGCAGAGGAUAAAAUAUGACUUAAAAAAAACAUAAGAUUAUUUUAAAAAUGCCAACAUUAAAACAAUGCCUAGACCAGGACCGAGACACAAUCUUCUGUAGAUAAACAAUUUCAUAGGCCUGACUGCCCUAACAUCCAUCAUUUUCUUAGGUUGUACCUAUAAAGUCAUCAUAAAUAUAAAACCAUGUCAGCCUUGCAACCAAACAUGCCUUUUUAGAAAUAAGUUGAAAGUAAAGCCAUUCAAAUUUGUGGCACUUUAUUUGGCAUAAAUGACAUCAUGCAAAUCUUUUGAGUUUUACCUUUUAUUUUAUGUUUCAGUGUGUUUAUCACUGCAUUCCCGUUGGUUCUAUUGUAACUUAAUUGAGGAAGACUUUUAAACAUGUGUUCCAUCAAACCUUGACAAAAUUUCUUGGCAUUAAUGCCAAUUUCUGAAGUUUUAAUUGCCUGAAUUUGAAUAGAGAUGCAAAAUUUUAAUAUCAGCACCAUUAUGAUUAGAAUUACUGUACUUAAAACAUUGACACACCAGGCUGGGUACAGUGGCUCAUACCACUUUGGGAGGCCACGGUGGGAGGAUGGCUUGAGCCCAGGAGUUUGAGGUUGCAGUGAGCUAUGAUGAUGCCACUGCAUGCUAGCCUUGGUAACAAAACAAAGCAAGACUCUGUCAAAA
ensembl:lincRNA